UGCAAAGAACGAUAACUCGUGCGUAGGGGCAAUAACCUUUACCGUAUUUCCGGUUGCAAGAACGUCGAGCCCUACUUUCGCUACAGCCGCGCGCUAUUCUCAAUUUAAUUCUCUCGAGCCCUCUACAGACAAGAAAAUAUCGCAUUUUUUCUAUUUGUAUGAAGAAGGAACUCCUUAAAUCAAUCUACAUGUAGAUGCAGGCUCAAAAGUACAUGAUUCAACAACUGACAAUUUAUCUACAGUGGGUAAAAGGGAACUAUCUACAGGGGGACGAAAGGAGCAUGAUGUCGAACCCGAUGGAUGAUCUACAGGGGAACUAUCUACAGGGGGACAAAAGGACGAAGAAGAUGAAGGAUAGUCUCUUGUCUCUGUCGAAGGUCUUGAUCUGUCUUGACUGUCUUUGUUCGCGCUGUAAUAAGAAUGUUCUUGCUGGAUGAAACUGUUUCUUUUAGACUGAGAUGGGAUGCUUAAUUUCCUCUUUAAUAUUUUCUUUGGUCUGCCAGGUUUCACAAAACAAAUGUUACAGUUAAUAGAAUGAGGUACAAAUUCAAACAAAACUGGUAAAUUAAUUUCAAUGUCAUCUUCCGCUUGGCUGUGUCGUGUGAGUCGUAGUCUACAUGCUGUACAAAUUUCAGGAGGAUGAAUGUUCACAGAGUCAAUGUCAAUGUCAAUAUAAUAAAGGGAGGUGAUUGCAGCUCUGAAGUUUUCUUUGGGAUGAGACUUGGAAUUAAUGGGAAUUUUCACUCCACAGAGCCUACACAUGCACUUUAACUUUAAUUCAUGCUCCAUUUCUGUAGAAAAAAUAAAGUUUUGAAUAGAU